rnacentral:rRNA from 1 species
GAUGAACGCUGGCGGCGUGCUUAACACAUGCAAGUCGAACGAUGAAGCCCAGCUUGCUGGGUGGAUUAGUGGCGAACGGGUGAGUAACACGUGAGUAACCUGCCCUUAACUCUGGGAUAAGCCUGGGAAACUGGGUCUAAUACCGGAUAGGAGCGUCCACCGCAUGGUGGGUGUUGGAAAGAUUUAUCGGUUUUGGAUGGACUCGCGGCCUAUCAGCUUGUUGGUGAGGUAAUGGCUCACCAAGGCGACGACGGGUAGCCGGCCUGAGAGGGUGACCGGCCCACAGGGGGAGAGAGACACGCCCGAGCCCCCUCGGGGGGGAAGAGGGGGGAAAUAUUGAAAAGGGGGCGAAGGCUGGAGGAGGGGCCGCGGGGGGGGGAAGGCCGGCUUUGGGUUUGAAAACCUUUUCAAGUGGGAAAAAGGAGAAGGGGACGGACCCGGAAAAGGAAGCCCGGGCAAACUAGG